rnacentral:hammerhead_ribozyme from 1 species
AUCCAGCUGAUGAGUCCCAAAUAGGAAGAAAAACUCGUCCUGGAU